GACGAGGUCGACCGGCGAGCAGGCGCGCCACCCACGCUAGGUCGCGAAGGCUCCACGGUGUGAAGUCAUGAUGUUCGGCAAAGAGUGCCAGAGCGGGGGCCGCUCGGCAGGACGGCGACGAUGAUGUCGCCGACUGAGUGGCGCGCCGCAGCCAGAGCAGCACUGACGCACUACAGCUGACCUAAGCAACGCCAGGGACGCCAUGGAGGCGCCACAGGGGAUGGGCGCGGCCACAAAGGCCGGCCAGGAACUACUACCGACAAGGAGGGUCAGGGCGCCGAGGCGCCCUAACGCAACCAAGCGGAGUAGAACCGUGGCAUCGUUAGCGAAUUUGGGGGAGGGGGGUUGUCU
rnacentral:lncRNA from 1 species